rnacentral:tRNA from 1 species
AGGAUAAUAGUUAAUAUCAUAACAUUUAAUUUGCAAUUAAAAAAAAAUGACCAUCAUUUUAUCUUA